UGCUGUGAAUUCACUCCAAAAUUAGUGGAAUUGUAUAAGACGCUCAAGGAAAGAAGAGAGAACUUUGAAGUAGUCCUAAUAUCUCUAGACGACGAAGAAGAAGACUUCAAAGAGAGUUUUGAGACAAUGCCUUGGUUGGCAUUGCCUUAUAAGGACAAGAGCUGCGAGAAGCUAGUGCGGUAUUUUGAACUUAGAACCAUUCCUAAUCUUGUCAUGAUUGGCCAAGAUGGGAAGACUUUGAACCCAAAUGUAGUGAACUGAUCGAAGAACAUGGUAUUGAAGCCUACCCAUUUACACCGGAAAAGCUUGACGAGCUAGCUGCAAUUGAAAAGGCAAAACUGGAAUCGCAGACGCUUGAGUCAGUUUUGGUUAAUGGGGAAAAUGAUUUUGUGAUUGACAAAAGUGGCUCCAAGGUAAUUGUUUUUGUUCUAUGCUAACCUCGCAUGUUGUUACCGCAUUACUUUCAAUAACUUUCUUAUGAUCACGAAUUGAAUUCAUUAGCAAAGGUUUUUUUUUUUUUUUAUCAUUCAAAUGGUGUGCUCUUGAUUAGGUCCCAGUGUCUGAACUAGUUGGAAAGAACAUUCUUCUUUACUUCUCAGCUCAAUGGUGCCCUCCAUGUCGUGCCUUUUUACCCAAGCUAAUUGAAGCAUACCACACAAUUAAAAGAAAAGACAAUGCAUUUGAGGUGAUCUUCAUCUCAAGUGACAGCGAUCAAUCCACCUUUGACGAGUUCUAUUCAGAAAUGCCUUGGUUAGCCCUUCCAUUUGGUGAUGAAAGGAAACAAAUCCUGAGUCGGAAAUUCAAAAUUCAAGGCAUUCCUGCAGCUGUAGCGAUUGGCCCAAGUGGCCGGACCAUUACCAAGGAAGCUCGGAUGCACCUGACAGCUUACGGGGCAGAUGCUUUUCCAUUUACCGAGGAACAUCUAAAGCAAUUGGAGGAGGAGAUUGAGGAAAAGGCAAAGGGGUGGCCAGAGAAAGUGAAACACGAACUUCAUACUGAGCAUGAGCUGUUACGUACUAAACGCAAAACAUAUAUUUGCGAUGGCUGUGGGGAAACAGGAAAUAGUUGGUCUUUCCAUUGCAAAGAAUGUGACUUUGAUCUUCACCCCAAGUGUGCUUUGAAGGAAGAUGAAGAUACUGGAAGUGAAAAGGGAAAUGAAGGAUGGAACUGCGAUGGAGAUGUGUGCCGCCGAGCCUAAGCAGGCAAGCGCUCCUUGUAUCUGGUUUUUUGGGCUUUCUGCUGUAAUAAGCGUGCGAUGUAAGGUGUUUGUUGCAUGUGUGUGAAGAUGUGGAUGUCUUUCCUGUUAUUGAUAUGUAAUUAAGAGGUGUGUUGCUUAAGGAUUUUCAUGUCCUGUAUUUCGAUACGAAGAAUAAAUAACCGGAUUGGCUAGGUUUAUGUGAAUCCUGUGACCCAUUUGAAACUUGGGAAUCCAUGGUUGCUUGUUGUUCUCAAAUCUCCAUCACUUGUUAUGAGGUUUUCGUCAUUCGUAGAGGAAAAUGCUUAUCAGUCCUGUCUAAAAAUUGGUUCCAUUGCGCCACUCUCUUUAUUCUUUUUGGCUGGAUGAAGCAGCAGCAGCUUCACCUCCGGUGCAAAUAUUCCUGUAAUUGUUUUGCAGAUUAAAAAAAAAGAGGGCUGAUUGUGACUUAACCAACAUUAUACUAUGAAACCUUUCUUAACUGAUGUGUACUUGACAAUGAAAUCGAGCAUGUGGAAAUUGACAAAUAAAAAAUAAUAUUAUUAUAAUAUAUUUUUAAAUAAAAAAUAUUUUAAAAAAUCCAUCAACAAUAAGCAAAGGACGGAUAGGAUUAAUGGCUAGCCAGGAGAAGUUAGCAAAAGCCAACAACUGUACCCAGACUGCUGACUCCUCCCCUCACAUGCCAAGAAAAGAUUCCCAUAAAUUUAAUGCUUUCCUUCUUGAUUCGCUUGAAAUCAUAUUAUUUGAUCCGUAAAGUAUAAUUAGUAACCCUUCGUCUCAUCAGUAAGGGACGGCAGCCCAAGCUUUCUUAUUAUCUUAUAGAAUCUUUUUUGAUGUGUAUGAAUUAAUAUUUUUUUUUUUAUAUAUAAUUCCAUGGAUAAGAUCGAAGUUUAGAAUAUACUGCCUAUCACGACAGCAUCAAAAUUUGUAGACCCACCACCUCUCAAUGGCCCCACCAGGUUGAUAAGAAAAAUUCUAAACAAAGAAUUCGACUUCAUGAUUUUCAUGAGUUUGUAUUUUAUAAAAUGCUUCUAUUCUCCAUAUUCGAAUCACAAAUUUAAAAAAUUAAACUGAUUGAUUUAGUUUUUUUUACAAUUAAUAUUUUUAUUUUAUUUUUUUAUAGAAUUAUCUUGAUUUUAUGUAUUAAGUCAUGAGUUUUUUAGUUUGAUCCAAGUUGCCUACAACCAAUUUUUUUUCUUCAAUUUAUUUGUUAUUGUUAUUUUUUUAAUUAUAUUAUUAAAUUAAUUAAGAUUAUUGAAUCCAAUAUUAAAUGACUAAGCAUUUUUUGCGAUGAAAAAAAUAAUAAUCCUGCUCUUGACGUGGCUACCAAUCUAAUGGUCAUUAAAACUCAAAUUUCCAUCAUCAUGGUUUUAAAAAAAACCAAACCUUUUUUUUGGCCGAGGAAAGUUAGUUACUUUUGUGUUUAUUCCCUUCAAUUUUUAAAGAACAUGAAACUAUUAACUAGUUGACCCGCGCUGUGUUAUGCAUCGAGUUGAAAAUUUUCAACAUAAAAAAGAAUAUACAUACAUUGCAAUGUGUUUUGUAAUAGAAGAAAUGAUAAUUGUGAACUCCAGGCUCAAAGCACUCGUCUAAUAAUUGUUAUGCAUCUCUUUGUUUCGAUUUGGCUGGAUGAAGAAACUUCACCUUUGGAGCAAAUAUUCCUGUAAUUGUAGUCACCCUUCUUCUCUUGUUAUUGUGAAUCUCAUCCUUAGUAAAGGGAUGUAAGCCCAAGCUGCGCGGAUAUAUAGCGCUGUUUGGAGUAGCUUUCUAAACUGAGUUUUUUUUAAAAAUAUGAAUUGAUUUUUCUAUUUUUUUUAUUUUUUAAUCAUUUUAAAUUUUAAUAUUAAAAAUAAUUUAUAAAAAAUAAAAAAUAAAAAAAAUAUUAUUUUCAUAUAUUUAUAUAUAAAAAAUACUUUAAAAAUAAUCUCCACAAUAAUCCUAUACACACGCUAUAGUUUGAUAACUAUUAUAUUGGCCCAUGUUCCGCAACGAGUCAAUAAUAAAUUUUUUUUUAUCAAAUGUAGAUAAUAUUUUAAGUGUCUUAGGGUCUGACAAAAAGACUUACAGCUUCUAGCCCUUACUGAUUAGCCGGACCCAAUGCUGAUAAAUCCAAUUGGCAACAGAACCCAUCGCUGAUUGGUCUAGCUAUGCCAGACCCAAAGCUUUUGGGUCCUGUUGGGUGCAAAACCCAACGCUGAUAAAUCCAACUGGCAAUAGAACCCAUUGUUGAUGGGUCUAGCUACGCCAGACCCAAAGCUUUUGGGUCCUGCUGAGUGCAGGACCCAACACUGAUGGGUGUUGGGUCCUGCUGGCAGCAAAUACAAACCCUAUUGGGUGUAAAGUUGGUAGUAGGACCCAACCCAAUUGGAUGCAAAGUUGGUUGUAGCUAUAGAGCCACACCUAAUAACUAUGGGUAUGGUUGUGCAACCAUAUCCAAUAUCUUUGGGUCUGGCUACAGAGCCGCACCAAAAGCCUACUUGUAGUUUUUUUCUUGGCAGAGAUAAUUAAUAAUAAUAAUUUAUUUUACUUUUCAAAUUAAAUUUAUAUAUUUUUUUAAAUAGAAAUAAAAUUCAUUGCAAAUUUAAUAUAUUCAUGAAUUUAAUAAAAUUUAUAAUAUUAUUAAAUUUGUUUGGCCUAAGUUUUUAUAGUUUUUAACCCUUUCAAAUAAAAUUUAUUAUUUUUCUUUGAUAGUAAUAAUAUUGUUUUUCAAAUUCAUUAAUGAUAAUAAUAAUAAUAAUUUUUAAUUUUACUCUUCAAAUCAAAUAUAUGGUUGUUUUUCAAUAUUAAUGAUAUUUUUUUCAAAUUUAUUAAUUAUUAUAUUAAUAAUAUUAACUAUAAUAAAAAUAAUAAUAUUUAUAAUACAAAUAAUAAUAUUAAACUUGUUUGAUUCAAGUUUUUAUAUUUUUUAAUCUCUUCAAAUAAAAUUUAUGGUUUUUCUUCAAUAGUGAUAAUUUUUUUCUUUGAAUUUAUUAAUGAUACAAAUAACAAUAAAAAUAAUAUAAUAAUAAUAAUAUUUCCUCUUUACCCUUCGAGAAAAAAAAUAAGAUAAAAAAAAACACAUUAUAAUAUUGAGUCCUGCUAGUGGCAGGACCAACGCUUUUUGAUGGGCCUUGAUUGCCGCAGAACCGAAAGAUAAUGGGUCUUACAUGACCCAAUACCGAUGGGACCUGGAGGACCCAACGUCAUAGGAUCUUGCUGGCAACAAGACCUCAUGCCAUCGGGUCCAGGUGGUAGCAUGACCUAUCAGCCAAGACGUAAUGUUUGACUUACAAACAACAAAGAUAAUGCAUUUUAAUAUAGUAAAUAAAAAUAUAAUAUAUAAUAAGUAUAAUGUUUUAGAAAUAAUACAAAAUUAUGAAAAUAAUAUUAAUUUGAAGUAAAAAAAAUAAAUAAAUAAAAUUUAAAUUUCUCGGGUCUCGGCUCUUAGCCAAACACAAUCUGAAUAUAUACUUUUUAAGAAAAUAUUAAUAAUAAUAUAUAACUUGUCUGGCUCAAGUUCAUAUAUUUUUUAAUCUAUUCAAAAAAUAAUUAUGGUUUUUCUUUCAUAGUAAUAAUUUUUUUUAAAACUUUAUUAAUGAUGAUGAUAAUAAUAAUUUUUAUGUUUACAAUUCAAAUCAAAUCUAUUGUUGUUUUUCAAUAUUAAAUUUGUUUUUCAAAUUUGUUAAUUACUAUAUUAAUAAUAUUAAUUAUAAUAAAAAUAAGAAUAAUUUUAAUAUUAACAAUAUUAAUUAUAAUAAAAAUAACAACAUUUAUAAUACAAAUAAUAAUAUUUUUAAUAUUUAUAACAAUAUUAAACUUAUCAAAGAGUAAGUGGGUCUGAUUGCAACAUCAGGUCCAAGAGCUUUGCUCCCCUUAUAAAUGUCAGACCCAAGAGUAUUGGAUUUGGUUGCAAUCCGAACCUAUUAAAGCUGCAGCAUCAUUAAGUCAUGCUUGACAUAAUGAACCAACAACUAGGUACCCAUUGUGACCCAACAUCAUUGGGUCAUGCUUAACAGAAGGACCCAAUAGUGUUGGGUCCAGCUAGGCAGUUGAGUCUGGUAGCAGGGCCCACCGUUGCUGGGUCCUAGUUGCAGCAUGUUCCAACUUUAGUGGAUCCUGCUUGCAAGAGCAUUGGGUUGUCUAAAAAGAAAGACCCUUGAGCUUGGGGCCUGUCCUUUCAGCCAAACCCAAGCUUGGCUUCGAACGCCCGACACAAGUAUCUUGAGUCCGGUGCAACUGCAAGACCCAAGAGACUUGGAUCUGCGCUCCUACCUCUCCCAAGCAACUUCAAUCCAGUGUCCCUUUCCGGCCCCAAGUUUCUCGGGUCUGGAAGGGGAUGUCAAACCCAAGUUAAUAAUAAUAGUAAUAAUUUUUAAUUUUAAUCUUCAAAUCAAAUCUAUGGUUGUUUUUCAAUAUUAAUGAUAUUUUUUUCAAAUUUAUUAAUUAUUAUAUUAAUAAUAUUACUUGUAAUAAAAAUAAUAAUAUUAAUAAUAAUUUUAAACUUGUCUAACCCAAGUUUUUAUUUUUUUAAUCUCUUCAAAUAAAAUUUGUGGUUUUUAUUUUAUUGUAAUAAUUUUUUUUCUUUGAAUUUAUUAAUGAUAAAAAUAACAAUAAAAAUAAUAUAAUAAUAUACUAAUAAUAUUUUCUCUUUACCGUGUGAAAAAAAGAGAGAGAAAAAGAUAACACAUUAUAGUAUUGGCCUUUUCGUUCUUGCUGGGGGUAGGACCUAAUGUUUUUUUAGGGGUCUUGCUAGCCGCAAGACCCGAAGCUUAUGGGACUUGCAAGACCAAUAUUGAUGGGUCCUGGACGAUGGCCCACCGCUGCUGGGUAGCAGGGCCCAACAUCAUUGCGUCAUGCUUGGCAAAAAAACCUAGCAACGGUAGGUCCUACUCGUAGGCAGGGCCCACUGCUGUCAUGAGUUUGGUGACACAGACAAACCCAAUCUUAGCAUAAAUGUUUUAAAAAUAAUAUUUUAUGUUGUCAAUUUUUUUUUUGGAGAGCAACUUUUUAGAUUUCAUUUACUUUUUUUGUUAUCAAUUUGGAUGAAUUGAAGCAUUGUUGCUGAAACCAUCAAGCAACAUCAUGAAUUAUAUAUGCCAAUUAGGCCUUUUAAAAAGUUAGGAGCUAAUAAGGUUGAAGAAACAUUCAAUGGUUAUUUCAAGAUAUUUAAGCCUUAUUUCCUACAAGACUUACGGAUUCAACUUAUUUUCCUACUUACACGCGGAUUGGGCUUUAAAUUUUCUUGAUGAUUAUAAAAUCCUUAUUUUAUAUGGAGUUAAAAUAUAAUAGCAAUUAGAUAUUGAUAAAGCCUUACGAUAAAGAUUAAAAACUACUAUACAAUAAUUGCAUUAGUUUUCCAGUUAAUUUAGAAUUUUAUUUCAUUUUAUUUAGAAUUAUUUUGUUAUUUUUUUAGCAUUUCUCAUUUUACCUAGUAUAAAUAUUGUUAUUUAACUUAUAUUUAGUUUUUUUUUAAUAAUUUGAGACGGAUUGAUUAUUUAGAAUAUUAUUGUAUGUGAAAGAGUUUACUCAUAUUCUUGAUUCCUCAUGGAACUUUUUCAAAAACUUAUCAAAGAUCAACUCUUUUUAUGACAUCCAUCCUUAUACCUACAGUUCGUAGUUUGUUAUAAUCAACGGGUUGGGGUCUUAUCCAUAUACCUAUAUUUUUCAGUUUAUUACAAUCAACGGGUUGAGGUUUUAUCCUUUGAAACUUUUUCAAAAACUUAUCAAAGAUCAACUCUUUUUAUGAUAUCCAUCCUUAUACCUACAGUUCUUAGUUUGUUAUAAUCAACGGGUUGGAGUUUUAUCCAUAUACCUACAUUUUUCAGUUUAUUACAAUCAACGGGUUGAGGUUUUAUCCUUAUACCUUUAAUUAGUGGUUCAUUAUAAUCAUUAGGUUAAGUUUUUUCAUCCAAUAACUAUGAUUAUGUAGUUUAGAUAAUCACUAGGUUAGGUUCUUUUCAACUUGAUUUUAGCUUUUUUUUAUUGUUUUUUUUCUUACAUAAGGGUUUUCCUCUCUAAAUUCACAACAACAAUGUAUGUUUAUGUUGAAGUAGAAAUUCAUAUAAUUAUUUAUGGGCAUGAAAAGCCUUUGUAAUAAAACAACUUAAACCUAUUAUGAAAAAAUUCAAAACAAAUCUUGAAAAACCUAAAAAUAGUAAAAAUAACUUAGAUCUAUUGUAAUAAAAACCUAAAAAGCGAGGCCCAUAAGUAAUGUUGAUUUGAACAAGUUUUGAAACAAAAAAGAUUGAACAAGUCAAUCCAAUAGCUUUGAACUGAUUUUGGUUUCAAAACCUUAAAAAACUAAUUUUUUAUUAAAUUGUUUUUUUUUCUAGAAUCAAACUGAAUAAAAAAAACCUUACUGUCAACUCAAAAAACUCAUAACUGGUUUUAAAACAUAAAAUUUAACUUGAAAAAAAAACUUUUCCAGCCCUAAUUUAACCUAAUUUAAUUAGGUCACAGUUGGAUAAUGAAUUUGAAUGUUUUAAAUGGAACAAUUAAGUAAAACUCAAAUCCAACUUAUUUUAUUACCUUCCAUUGAUUAUUAUUAAAUGAGAAAUUCAAACAUGCUUGGUGUGUUUAGCAAAGGAGAAUGACAGAGUUGUACUAUGUACUUUUAAGUGUGGAAAAGUUACAACUCAUAGAAGACCGUUUGGUAGCGCGUUUGCACCUGUAUUUUGCCCAAAUUUGAAUUUUUUUUUUUUGUUAAAAUUGAGUUCGGUUUGUACUUUUUGGAUCAUUUUGAUAUGCUGAUGUCAAAAAUAAUUUUAAAAAAAUAAAAAAACAUCAUUGGCAUGUAUUUUGGCACAAAAAACUAUUUGAAAAGCAACCGCUACCACACUACCAAACACGCUAGGCACCCACUUAGUUGAAAAUAAACAAGAAAUUUUUAGUGUGAUCAAAACACAAGAAAUCAUUUAAUUAAGUUUAUAUUUUUCAUUCCAAUGUUUUUUACUAACAAUGCUGAAAUAUUUGAUGAAAGAUUUUCUCAUAAACUAUUUUUCAAUAUGUAUAAAUUCAACAAUAAAAAAUCUUUUUGGAUAAAAAUUAUUUUUGUGUGAAAAAUUAAAUUCUUUAAAGACUUGAUUAUAUAACUCUAAGUUUAGGCAUCUGAACUUAAGUUUACAUCCAAAAAAAUCUAUUUUGCUCUAAUUUGACAUAGUAGAAAAAUCCUUAUAAUAUCAAAUCUUGACAUAUAUAUUAAAUUCACUAAAUUGUUGUUUAAAUUAUGUUUAUUUUUACGUUUUAAAAAUGUUUUUAAAAAAUUUUGAACUUUUUUUAUUUACUUCAAAUUAAUAUGUUUUUGGUGUUUUUAAAUUAUUUUGAUGCACUGAUAUCAAAAUUAAUUUUUAAAAAUUAAAAAAUAUUUUGAAAAACAAUUACAACUACACUCAAAAUCUUUUAACUAGCAACAAUGAAAAUGAAAAGGAUUCCAACUUUGUGGAACGUGAAGAGGAAGGAAUUGCACACGACAAGAGAACAAAAAACAAAUUAUGGUAAUAAGGUUUAGUUUUCAAUCAAAGAAGAGAGACUGCGAUUUUUAGAGAGAGAAAGUAGGAUAAAGAAGAGAGUGUGGGUGUGUGAUCUAUCAUUCAAUUGGUUUUCUCAUAUAUUAUACAUAAAGACAAUUUGGAUAUUUUAUCAUUUUUUUAAUUUUUAUUUGAUAAAGAAUGUAGAGUAUAAUUUCAAAAAGUAAUAGGGUAAAGUGAAAUAUAAUCAAAUCAUAAGAGUAAGAGGAUUUUUUUUGUAAUUAUUUCUUAAUAAAAGAAGAAACCUAUAAUCCAGAUUCUCGAAAAAAAAAAGAAGGUAAAAAGUGAAGAGUGACUGGGUGACCGUAUGAGUCUUUAAAGGAAAAGAAAAAGGGAUAAAAAUACAAUACUAAAAAAAUAAAAAGAGAGAGAAAUGAAAAAAAUGAAUAUGUUUUUUUCUUUUUCUUUUUCUUUUUUAAAUAAAAAAGCGAAAGGAGGUGUGAAAGCACGUAGGAAAGCAUGUUUAAUGCCAGUUUCUCGAACCUACUGGUAUUUAGAUAAUGAGAAUGAUGUUUUUGUCAUCACCAUCGAAAUUUCCAUGUCAUCGUUGACGUAUGAUAAUUCCCUAAGCGUGCUGUGCAAGUAACUUAAAAGGAACCAUCCCAGUUUGUACCAAUAAAUACUAAAUAGCAUUUGGAAUCCGCAAUUGUUCUAGUCUUUUGAGUAGUUCAUCACUUAACAAUGGCCAACGAAGACGUUUCGCACGACCUUUCAUCCCUUCUUUCGUCGGAAGAGAGGGACUUUCUCAUCCGCAACAAUGGUGACCAGGUACUGCUUUUAGCUUAUGGAUUUCUCUGGUCUUAUGCGAUCUACUUCUACUUGUCUUAUUAAACUUGCAGGUUUUUCUCGUAAUUAGGAUGGAUAUCAUGUUUAAAUUAGACUGCGAACCUUGCUCAAGAACAAGUUUAUGACCAAUUUCUAGAGCUUUUAUGAUUCAGAAAAGCCUCAAUUUUUGUUUACCCUCUUGAUUUAUGGGCUAAUUUUUUUUUUUUCUGAUUAUGCUCGACACUAAUUUUUAGGUUACGGUCAGCAAUUUGGUUGGGAAGAUUGUGGGAUUCUAUUUCUCUGGUUCGUGGUGCGGGCCGUGCCGCAAUUUCACUCCGUUGUUGGUAGAAGUCUAUGAACAGCUAUCAUCCAAAGGGGACUUCGAGGUGGUCUUCAUUUCUUCUGACGGAGACGAUGAAUCCUUCAACACAUACUUCUCCGAAAUGCCAUGGCUUGCUAUUCCCUUCUCUGAUACGGAGACCCGCCAACGUCUUCAGGAAUUGUUCAAAGUAAGAGGGAUCCCUAAACUCGUCAUUUUUGAUACUAAUGGUAAGGUUUCCUGCGAUAAUGGAGUCAGACCUGUCAAGGAACAUGGCGUGGAUGGGUAUCCGUUCAACCUUGAUAGACUGAAUUUCCUUAAAGAGCAAGAAGAGAAUGCUAAGAAGAAUCAAACCAUAAGCUCUAUCUUGGUUUCCAGCUCACGUGAUUAUGUGAUUUCAAAUGAUGGAAAAAAGGUAGAUGUUUCAUUCAAUUAGCUAGUUUUGAAAUUGAAUUGAUGAUGCCAUAAUUCACAUUUUUGCUAUCUGUAAUGGCAGAUCCCUGUGUUGGACCUUGAAGGAAAAUUGGUUGGCUUGUAUUUUUCAGCCCAUGCUCAUAGGAUGUGCCGUGAAUUCACUCCUAAACUAGUGGAAUUGUAUAAGACGCUCAAGGAAAAAAGAGAGAACUUUGAAGUAGUCCUAAUAUCUCUAGACGACGAAGAAGAAGACUUCAAAGAGAGUUUUGAGACAAUGCCUUGGUUGGCAUUGCCUUUUAAGGACAAGAGCUGCGAGAAGCUAGCGCGGUAUUUUGAACUUAGAACCAUUCCUAAUCUUGUCAUAAUUGGCCAAGAUGGGAAGACUUUGAACCCAAAUGUAGCUGAACUGAUCGAAGAACAUGGUAUUGAAGCCUACCCAUUUACACCGGAAAAGCUUGACGAGCUAGCUGCAAUUGAAAAGGCAAAACUGGAAUCGCAGACGCUUGAGUCAGUUUUGGUUAAUGGGGAAAAUGAUUUUGUGAUUGACAAAAGUGGCUCCAAGGUAAUUGUUUUUGUUCUAUGCUAACCUCGCAUGUUGUUACCGCAUUACUUUCAAUAACUUUCUUAUGAUCACGAAUUGAAUUCAUUAGCAAAGGUUUUUUUUUUUUUUUUAUCAUUCCAAUGGUUUACUCUUGAUUAGGUCCCAGUGUCUGAACUAGUUGGAAAGAACAUUCUUCUUUACUUCUCAGCUCAAUGGUGCCCUCCAUGUCGUGCCUUUUUACCCAAGCUAAUUGAAGCAUACCACACAAUUAAAAGAAAAGACAAUGCAUUUGAGGUGAUCUUCAUCUCAAGUGACAGAGAUCAAUCCACCUUUGACGAGUUCUAUUCAGAAAUGCCUUGGUUAGCCCUUCCAUUUGGUGAUGGAAGGAAACAAAUCCUGAGUCGGAAAUUCAAAAUUCAAGGCAUUCCUGCAGCUGUAGCGAUUGGCCCAAGUGGCCGGACCAUUACCAAGGAAGCUCGGAUGCACCUGACAGCUUACGGGGCAGAUGCUUUUCCAUUUACCGAGGAACAUCUAAAGCGAUUGGAGGAGGAGCUUGAGGAAAAGGCAAAGGGGUGGCCAGAGAAAGUGAAACACGAACUUCAUACUGAGCAUGAGCUGAUACGUACUAAACGCAGUGCAUAUGGUUGCGAUGGCUGUGGGGAAACGGGAUAUCGGUGGUCUUUCUAUUGCAAUCAAUGUGACUUUGAUCUUCACCCCAAGUGUGCUCUGAAGGAAGAUGAAGAUGCUGGAACUGAAAAGGGAAAGGAAGGAUGGGUCUGCGAUGGAGAUGUGUGCCGCAGAGCUUAAGCAGGCAAGCGCUGCUUGUGUCUGGUUUUAUGGGCUUUCUGCUGUAUUAAGUAUGCAAUGGAAGAUGUUUGUUGCAUGUGUGUGAAUAUAGUGGGGAUGUCUCUCCUGUUAUCGUUAUGUAUCUAAGAUGUGUGAAGCUGAAGGGUUUUCAUGUCCUGUAUUUGGAUACUAAAAAUAAAUAAACAGCUCUGUGUGUUUAUGCGAAUCCUGUGACCCAUUUGGAACUUGGGAAAAUCCAUGGUUGAUGGUUGUUCUCAAAGCUCAAUCACUUGUUAUGAGGUUUUUGUCAUUCCUAAACGAAAAUGCUGUGCAUGAUGCCAUUGUGCCGCUCUCUUUGUUUCUAUUUGGCUGGGUGAAGAAACAGCCUCACCUCUGGAGCAAAUAUUCCUGUUAUUGUAUUGCUGAUUAAAUACAAAAACUGGGCUGAUUGUGACUUAACCAACAUUAUACAAUGAAACCAUUGUAACUCCACCGUAAAAGAAACAAGAAUUUCCAAUCCAAGCAACUGGAUAGUCAUUUCCCCCCCUCGUUGCCUUCUCACAUUACUUGUUGAGACGGAUUUCAGAAUCAAGAAAGCAGCAUUAAUUCGAACUCAGAACUAAGAAAGACAAAUGAAAUCCCAGCAGGUGGAAACUGGGUUCAUGGCAGUUAUUUGGAGGGUGGACACCUGCGUUUGUUGAUGAACAUGUCUGCAAUCAAUGAAAACCAGAACCACGGGCAGGCUAUUGCCUGUAUCAGUUCAUGGGACGCAAAGGACAGAUAGGAUUAGUGGUGAGCUUGGAGAAGUUAGCAAAGCCAACAACUACACCUCGCAGAACAGGAAAAGAUUUCCGUAAAUUUAAUGCUUUUCUACAAGAAUGUUUGGUUGCCUAUUUUUAAAAAAAAAAAAUUAUAUAAAUAACUUCUGGGUUGGCAUAGACACCUCAGGUUUUGGCACAGCUGCAAAAAACAAGUUGGAACUCUUACAUCCCUAUUGGUAGGUGAUGGAUUAUAAAUAAGGUUUAGUUUUGGUACUUUGACAUCCCUCGUGGACAAAACGAUUCUGAAUGGUUGAUAAUUUGGAAUGAAAGAUUUUCAGUACAAUUAUCAACACUCAACAAACUAGUAAUACCCUAUUAAUUCAUAACUAACUUGGAAAAAAAAAUUAAAUAUAAAAUUAUUGGAUCAAUCUGUAUAUUUUUUAUAUUAAAACAAUAACGUUUUAUUUUAUUUUUAUUUAAUCUUUACAGGAUAAUCACUCAGUUGAUUUAACCAUGUUAUUAAAAGAAUUUAAUUAAUAUAUUAUUUGAUUUAAUUAAAAUCUCAAAAAUUAUUAUACUUGAUAUCUUAAGUUUUUGAGACCAAUGAUUUCUACAUAGUGGUACAAUUAGCAUACUCUGCUCAUUGCAUUACAACAACAUUUUAAAAAUAAAAUGUUAAAAUUAAGAAUAAUUAAUUUUGAAAUUUUAUGUGAACAAUAAUUGUGUGGGGGUGUCAAUAGCAUCAUAUUUGUUUCCUGAAGUAAAUUAUAAUUGAAUCCUCAUAUUUUCCAUAAACCAAUAUGUUAGCCCUUCUGUUUUUUAAAAAACUAAAAGGCUACUCAAUUGAGAAGCUUCGACCGUCAAGCCGUUAUUAGAUAUUCUUUUAUACUAAUACCUAAAGUAACGGUUUAGCACUUUUAUAAUGUAAAACUAAAGGAAGAACUAAGGAGGUAAAAUAUGGCUUCUUUUAAAUAAAGGGAGUGAGCUAUUAAUUUCUUAAAACUAUAGGGACUACGUUAUAAUUUGAUCAAUUUGUUAUGAUGAAUUUAAAGUGCCACACGUGAUUUUUUUUUUUAAUUAAUGUGGGUGUCCGGACCAGCUUGCGCACACCUUAACUAAUCCAACGGGUCCUGAAAUUAACGACCAUGUAAGCCUACAGUUAUCAUCAUAUGAGCAACUACAGGGCUCCUGAGAUCACAAAGGGAAUAAACCUUUUAGUCCCAAGCUCUUAUAACUAGGACACUUUCUAGAUGGUUGUCACACGUUAUUUAAUUCUACAUGGUUUGGUUUUGUGUUUGCCAAUUAAUGAUCAUCAUGUUUCAUGAUGUGACAAAUAGAUUAAAAAUAUGAUGAAUGGAGCCAAACAUUAUUGGUUUUAAAUUUAAAAUUUUUUUAGUGUGUUUGAAUUUUUUUAAUAUAUUAAAUUUAAAAAUAAAUUUUUAAAAAUUAAUAUAUAUAUUUGAGUAAAAAUUAUUUUAAAACUCAACCUCUAUUAUAUUUUUAAACAUACCCUAUCAUUAGUAGUUGAGUCUUACCCUUAAUGUUUUCCAUGGAAUCUAUUAUUAUAGUCUUACAGCGUAUGUGCAAAGAUAAGGAAUAUCAUGAUAGGCAGUAAAAAAAAAAAAAAAAAAACUCUUACUAAUAUUAUAAAAACUAUGUUAUAAUUUUAUCUGAAAAUAAAAUAAAAAUUAAAUGAUAUCUAAUAAAAUAAUAUCUCAUAUAUAUUCUUAAUAACUUAAGUAUCUACUAAAAUAACAGCCUUGAUGUGUUUUUAAAUAAUUAAUUUUAACGAAAUAAAACUAAAACUCAAGGAUAAAAAUUCAAAAAUAAAAAUUCAAAUAAAAUAAAAACAAGCCAUGUUUGUGGGGCCAGGUGACUCCGCAUGCUUAUCCAAAAUGAAAGAGCCAUUUUAUUUUUUCUUUGAUAAAUGACAUAUCAUUUAUCCUUUUGAUUUUUAAAGUAAAACAAAUGACACAUGAUUGGUUACUCAAUUUUUUUUUGUCAUGGAGAAGUGGUUGAAGAAUUGGGUUAGAGUUUUUUUUUUUAUCUAAAAUUAUAUAUUUUUUAAUUUGUUUUUAUCUAUUGUCUCUAAACUAGUCCAUCAUCUAAAAAAAAAACCCUAAAAUAAUUUUAAAAUACAAAGUUUAACCUAAAAGCAAUUCUCUCAACCUCGAUUUAUCUUUUUUUGGCAAUAUAAAGCUAAAAACACAUUAUGGUAGCAUUCUUCUUGUCAAGAAGAAUACAUUGACACACAUUUUAGCUAUUUUUGCAAACAAAACCUUGUCAAUGUAUGUAUUUCUUCUCCUUUGUUAUUUUCAAUGAAUGUUUUUUUUUUUCUAAAACUCAAAACUAAAAUGUGAUUAAAAUAAAGUUUUAGAUCAAAACAUAAAUUUUUAAAGUAAAAUAGCGUGAAAUGAACAUUUCUCAAAUAAAAAAACCAUAAAUUCUUGCUACUUGUUAAUUUUGGCUCCCCAAGUCCUUAAUUUUUAUAUACAAUAAAAUAGGAUUCUAUUUUGUAAAAUCAAACAUAACUCUAAUGUAAAGACAUUUAAUUUUCCAAAAAAAAAAUUAUAGAAAACCAACCAAUAAGUCAAAUCCUCCAUUAAUAAAAUGUCAAAAAUUGAAAAAAUUUAAAAAGUGUUUGGUGACUAUAAUGAAAAAAAUUUCGAAGAAAAAACUAGAACACUAUUUUAAUCUGUGAUGUUUUGAGUUUUUGUCCACAGUGCAACAACACUAAACUAACCACAUCUCUUAGUUUUAUAUUUAAUUUAUUUUUAGAUUUUUAUGAUUCAUAAAUGAGGGAUUAUUUUAUUUUGUUAGCUUAGGUUUUAUUUUUAUAAAAUUAAUUAAAAAAUAGAUUAGGAUAUCUAGUGGAUAACCACAAAUGAAGAAAGUCAUCUACUUAACCGGAUUUAGAGCUCGUUUGUUUCUGAGACAACAUUUACAUUUCUUUUAAACACACUAAUAAUGGUGUUUGAUUACCGAUUGAAAGUAAUACAUAAAUUAUAGACCCCAUCAUUUAUAUGAGGCAGCACCUUAAUUAUAAAAAAUAUUUUUUUUUAUUGAACUUUCUUACAUGAUAGAGUAUUGCAUUUAAAAACUCUUUCUUUCUCCCCUCAAAAUAUAGGGUCUCUUUAUUGAAAUAGAGUCAUGAUGUGGCUCAAAUACACAAUAUAAAUUUAUUUAUAAUUAUUAAAUAUAUGCAAUAUCAUUAUUUUUAAAAUAAAAAAGAAAUCCAGAGUUUUAUUAUUGAAAAACUCCAUUCUUGAAAAUAUAACUAAAAAUUCUAUCAAAGUUUAGAUUUUAACUUGUCUAUUAAAUUGUAUGUAAUUAUUAUCAAGUCAUAUUUUAUAGAAAAUAAACUAGGCUAAAAAUCUAAUCCAAAAUUCUCUCGAUGUCUUUGAGAAUUUAAUUAGCAUAUGAAUUUUAUUGAGGUCUGUGUUAAAUGUUUUUUUUUUUUUCUGAGACUUAAGGAGCUUUGGAUGACUGGAGCUGGAGGUACAUUUUCAUGAUUUAUUUUUCUCAAUAAUUUUUUUUUACAGUCUUGGCCUUCAUCCUUUCCUAAGCUUCCUAUGUAAGAUGCCACGUAUAUAGUUUCUUUGCUCGUUCAUUUCAACUAUGCUUUACAUAUGAUGAUUGAUUUAUAUUAGAAAAAAAAAAUGAUAGAAAAAUUCAUUUCCAAAUGCAGCAAAACCAAAAGAGAAUAAUUUUCUAAUUAAAAAAACUAAUUAAGGAUUUUUUGUAUCAAGAAAUAUAAAGAUUUUAUUAAAGAGAUAAAAAUAAAAAAUAUAUUUAAUAACAAACUCACAAAAAAAUUAUCAAACCAUGGAUAAAACUAAAAAAAAAGGAGAUUAAUAAAAAAAACAUGUUUAAAAAAGAAGAAGCAAGAGGAGAUUUAUAGAAGCAGGUGAUCAUGCGAAUGCCACUUCAUCGGGCCUACGUCAUAAUGUCUUCGUCAUCACCCGUCACCAGCCACGCCUUGAAGCGUCGUUGUCUGAUUAGAAUAAUAAUUUCCUAGGUCGGUCGUGCAGGUAAUUUAAAGGAGCCUUAGCCUGGAAGUUCUAUCACAUAGCAACUGGGAUUGGCAAUUGUUCUAGCCUUUUGAGUAGUUCAUCACAUAGCUAGCUAUGGCCACCGAAGACGUUUCUCUCGACCUUUCAACGCUUCUUUCUUCAGCAGAGAGGGACUUUCUCAUCCGCAACAAUGGUGAUCAGGUACUGCUUCUCUGAUCUUAUUCAAGUCUUCUUCCUGUCUUAUUAUAAGUUGACGUCUUUUAAUUUUUAUAUGAACUUGUAGGUUUUUCUCGUAAUUAAGAUGAAUAUCAUGUUUAAAUUAGACUGGUAGCCUUGCUUAAGAACAAAUUUAUGACCAAUUUCUGAAGCUUUUUAUGAUUAAGAAAAAGCUCCCUUUUUUUUGUUGCUUCUCUCACUGGCAAGAGAAAGAAACCAUGAAUAAAAUUUUGAUUCGUUAAGGGCAGAUGUUUUUUUCUGAUAAUGUUCGAGAUUAAUUUUUAGGUUAAGGUCAGCAAUUUGGUUGGGAAGAUUGUGGGGUUCUACUUCUCUGGUUCGUGGUGCGGCCCAUGCCGUAAUUUCACUCCUUUGUUGGUAGAAGUCUAUGAACAGCUAUCAUCCAAAGGGGACUUUGAGGUGGUCUUCAUUUCUUCUGACAGAGAUGAUGAAUCCUUCAACACAUAUUUCUCCGAAAUGCCAUGGCUUGCUAUUCCCUUCUCUGAUACGGAGACCCGCAAACGUCUUAAGGAAGUGUUCAAAGUAAGAGGGAUCCCUAAUCUUGUCAUAAUUGGCCAAGAUGGGAAGACUUUGAACCCAGAUGUAGUUGAACUCAUCGAAGACCAUGGAAUUGAAGCCUACCAUUUACACCGGAAAAGCUUGAUGAGCUAGCUGCAAUUGAAAAGGCAAAACUGGAAUCGCAGACGCUUGAGUCAGUUUUGGUUAAUGGGGAAAAUGAUUUGUGAUUGACAAAAGUGGAUCCAAGGUAAUUUUUUUUCUGCUAACAUCGCAUGUUGUUAUUGCAUUACUUUCAAUAACUUGCUUAUUAUCUCGAAUUGAAUUCAUUAGCAAAGGAUUUUUAUCAUUCAAAUGGUUUACUCUUGAUUAGGUCCAGUGUCUGAUCUAGUUGGAAAGAACAUUCUUCUUUACUUCAGCUCAAUGGUGCCCUCCAUGUCGUGCCUUUUUACCCAAGCUAAUUGAAGCAUACCACACAAUUAAAAGAAAAGACAAUGCAUUUGAGGUGAUCUUCAUCUCAAGUGACAGAGAUCAAUCCACCUUUGACGAGUUCUAUUCAGAAAUGCCUUGGUUAGCCCUUCCAUUUGGUGAUGGAAGGAAACAAAUCCUGAGUCGGAAAUUCAAAAUUCAAGGCAUUCCUGCAGCUGUAGCGAUUGGCCCAAGUGCCGGACCAUUACCAAGGAAGCUCGGAUGCACCUGACAGCUUACGGGGCAGAUGCUUUUCCAUUUACCGAGGAACAUCUAAAGCAAUUGGAGGAGGAGCUUGAGGAAAAGGCAAAGGGGUGGCCAGAGAAAGUGAAACACGAACUUCAUUCUGAGCAUGAGCUGUUACGUACUAAACGCAAAACAUAUAUUUGCGAUGGCUGUGGGGAAACAGGAAAUAGUUGGUCUUUCCAUUGCAAAGAAUGUGACUUUGAUUUCACCCCAAGUGUGCUUUGAAGGAAGAUGAAGAUACUGGAAGUGAAAAGGGAAAUGAAGGAUGGAACUGCGAUGGAGAUGUGUGCCGCCGAGCCUAAGCAGGCAAGCGCUCCUUGUAUCUGGUUUUAUGGGCUUUCUGCUGUAAUAAGCGUGCGAUGUAAGGUGUUUGUUGCAUGUGUGUGAAGAUGUGGAUGUCUUUCCUGUUAUUGAUAUGUAAUUAAGAGGUGUGUUGCUUAAGGAUUUUCAUGUCCUGUAUCUCGAUACGAAGAAUAAAUAACCUGAUUGGCUAAGUUUAUGUGAAUCCUGUGACCCUUUUGAAACUUGGGAAUCCAUGGUUGCUGGUUGUUCUCAAAUCUCCAUCACUAGUUAUGAGGUUUCGUCAUUCCUAAAUGAAAAUGUUAUGCAUGAUGCCAUUGUGCCGCUCUCUGUGUUUCUAUUUGGCUGAUGAAGAAACAACUUUACCUCUGGAGCAAAUAUUUCGAUACCAAACUGGUUUUGUUUAAACUCUCAACCCAAUUCAAUUAUGAAAGGUUUUUUUUUUUUUGUCUGAGAAUCCCUAAUUUGCUUCCUCUCUCCUGUAGCCACAACCACCCUCUCUUUUCUCUGAAAGAUAUCGAAACUUAGCGGUGAUCUCUUCGCUCUCAAAAUUUCUCGCAACUUUCUCACCUCCCUCUUUGUUGUUGGUCUCUUUUUUAUUUUUGUCUCCUCUCCAUCUCUAGUGUAAUGUAGCCUCUCUUCUCUCUAUUUCUUUCUAUUUUUCUUAGCUUUAUUUAUUGUUAUAGAAUAAUAAAUUAUAACAUGUUUAUUUGUUAUUUGGCAAGGAUUCAAUGUUCACAAUAACUCAGAUGUUUGACAAAGCCGAUUUAUAUUAUUUAGCAGAUUUGAUAAGAUUUAUUGUCUCCUAUAUGUAUUAUUAACUGUGACCUAAUAAUUUACAUGUUAUGUUUCAAAGACACAGAAGUUUGAGGUGUUGGUUCUUAUUUCGUUGCAUGUCAAGCUCAAUAUAUUUCUCCUAACAUGUUUAUUUGUUACUUGGCAUGGAUCAUUUUUUAUGGCUUAUAUUGUCUUUUUUAUGUAGAUGUGAACAAGUUAUUUCAAAGGAAAAAACUAUAUUGACUCCUUAAUUGUGAAAUUGGAAAUUAGGGAGAUAAUUGUUGUGAUAAUUCAUGGGCGAUCAUGUAAGCAAAUGUUAUAGGAAGCUUGCUGAUUUGGAUUUGUAAUAAUACAUGCAUCGAAGUGCUAGAAAGGCCACAUAAUCUUUGCCCUUUCCUAGGCUUCAUGUGCAAGAUCCCGUGUAUAUAAGUUAAUUGUAAGUUCAUUUAAACUAGGCUUUACAAAUGGUGAUUCAUUUGUAUUAAGAAAAAAUGAAAUAAAAAUUCAAUUUCAUAUAUAAUCCAUCACCUAUUUAAUAGUGUGAUGUAAGAGUAAGAGUUCAUCUUGUUUAUGAUCCAUCACCUAUCAAUAGUGAUGUAAGAGUUCCAACUUGUUUUCUACAGCUGUGCCAAAACCUAGGGGGGUCUACGCCAGCCCAGCAGAGUCCUUCCCCCGUCGUAGGUGGUCCAUACGACCAGAGAUAGUAAGUGAUUUCAGAACAUGCCUUUUCGAAAUGUGAUCAAAAUAAAAUUUUGGAUUAAAAUAUAAAAUUUUCAAAGUAAAAUGGUGUGAAAUCAACAUUUCUCAAAUAAAAAAAAACCUUAAAUUAUUGCUAACAAUCAAUUUUGCCCCCUAAAUCUUAAAUUUUUUGUACGCAAUAAAAUACGAUUUAUUUUGUAAAAUCCAAAUAUCACCCUAAUGUAAAAACAUUUAAUUUUUCCCUCACAUAGAAGAUUAUAAAAAAACCAACCAAUAAGUCCAAAUUCUUGAUUAAUAAAAAUGUCAAAAGAUGAAUUUAAAAAAAUUAAUUAUAUUAUAAUGAAAAACAUUCAAAGAAUAGGACUAGAACAUUGUUCCAAUCCAUGAUAUUUUGAAUUUUUUGUCCAUGGUGCAACAAAACUAAACUAACCACAUCUUUUAGUUUUUUAUUUAAUUUAAUUUUAUAGUUUUAUGAUUCAUGAAGGAGGAAUUAAUUUAUUUUUUAGAUUAGGUUUUAUUUUUAUAAAAUUAAUUAAAAAAUAAAUUAGAUAGGAUAUCUAGUUGAUACCCACGAAUAAAGAAAGUCAUAUACUUAACCUGACUUGAUUAAAAAAAUUAACGAAUUUGAACAUUCGAGAGUGGAAAUUCAUUAUCUUCCUUUACUUACAAUUAUGACAAAUUGAAAUACGUCUAGAGUGUUUGAUAAAGGAUGAUGACAUAUAUGUAUAGUGCACUUUUGAGUGUGGGAAAGUCCCGUCUCAUGACAGAGUAUUGCAUUUAAAAUCUCUUUCUUUCUUCCUUGGAAAUAUAGCAGGGGUGAUUAAAAAAAAAUUGAAAAACUAAUUAAAUUAAAAAAAUAAUUUUUUUUGAAAAAACUGAACCGAGAAAAAAUAAAUUAAUUAAUUAAAAUAUUUUUAAAAAUAUCUGGUUUGAUUUUGAUUUUUUAAGUCUAAAACCGAAAAAAUAAACUGAAAUUAAUAAAAAAACCAAACUGAAAAAACUUAAACCAAACCUAUUAAAAAUUACAAAAAAAAACCCCUAAAAAUAAUAUAGUUUUUGGUUUUUAAUAUAGAUGUUUUGAUUUUACCAAAACCAAAACCGAACGAACCAAAUCCGAUCGGAUGGGUUUUGAUUUUUAAAAAAAAAAAAAUACAGUUUGGUUAUUUUUAUAGGUAAAAACCUAACCGAACUAAAAAUAAUCACCCUUGAAAUAUACAAAAAAACAUUUUAUUGAAAUAAAGUGGCUAAAAUACACUAUAUAAUUUUAUUUAUAAUUAUUAAAUAUAUGUAACAUCAUUAUUUUUAAAAUUAAAAGGAGUUGAGAGUUUUACUAUUAAAAAACUUUAUCUUGAUAGAAGGAUAAUAAGGUCUUUAGAAAGUUUGUAUCGUAGCAUACUUAUUAAAUUAUAUGUGAUUACCAUCAUGUCAAAGUAACAUAAAGAUUUUAUUAAAGAGAUAAAAAUACAAAAUAUAUUUAAUAACAAACUCACAAAAACAAAAUAUCAAACCAUGGAUAAAACUAGAAUAAAAACAUAAAAAAAGGAGAUUAAAAAAACAUUAGAAUAUUUUAAACUGAUUAGAAUAUUUUAAAAAAUAUCCAGUUUGAUUUUGAUUUUUUAAGCUUGAAACUAAAAAAUCAAACCCAAAUUAAUAAAAAAAAUAAACCAAAAAAACCGAAACAAAACUCAUUAAAAAUUACAAAAAAAACCCUAAAAACAAUAUAGUUUUUUGUUUUUAAUAUAAAAUAAUCAAACCAAAACCGAAUCAAAUCAAACCCGAAUGGUUGGAUUUUGGUUUUUUUUUUUUGUAUUUUUCAAAAUUUCAAUUUGGUUAUUUUUAUAGGUAAAAACCAAACCAAACUAAAAAUGAUUACUCUAGAAUAUAAAUUUUUUUUUGUAUUGAAAUAGAGUGGCUAAAAUACACUAUAUAAUUUUAUUUUUAAAUAUUAAAUAUAUGUAACAUCAUUAUUUUUAAAAUUAAAAGGAGUUGAGAGUUUUACUAUUAAAAAACUUUAUCUUGAUAGAAGGAUAAUUAAUAAGGUCUCUAAUAAGUUUGGAUCUUAGCCUACUUAUUAAAUUACAUGUGAUUACCAUCGUGUCAAAGUGAAAUAAAGAUUUUAUUAAAGAGAUAAAAAUACAAAAUAUAUUUAAUAACAAAAUCACAAAAAAAUUAUCAAACCAUGGAUAAAACUAGAAUAAAAAUAAAAAUAAAAAGAGAUUAAAAUAAACACCUCUCUGCGCAAGAAAUGAUAUAUUCUGUUAAAGACAAUCCUUCCCGUAGAUUGCUUUGAAUGGGUAAAUCAAUCAUUUGUCUUUGUGGAUCCGACAUUAAUCCUCUUAUACCUACUAAUUGGUGUACUUGAGAUGUAUUUCCCUAGCUCCCGAAAAGGACAUUAUAUGGACUUGAUUAUAGGGUUUUGUCAUUCUAAAAUUCAGAUUCAUUUCUUGUCGCAAAUAUUCACUUGUAGCAUACUAUAUCUUAAUAAAUUGACGUAAUUUUUCUAUCGCGUAUACAUUUUUAUAAUGAUGGUGUUUUUUCAAAAUCAAACUUUGUUGUUCAGCAUCUUGGACUAGCCAUCCUUUUGAAGAUAUUGUUAAAAGAUCAUCAAUUCCUAAUGAAAUAGAUGUAGCAGUGGUAUGUGAAUCCUGUGACCCAUUUGAAACUUGGGAAUCCAUGGUUGAUGGUUGUUAUGAGGUUUUUGUCAUUCCUAAACGAAAACGCUAUGCAUGAUUGCAUUGUGCCGCUCUCUUUGUUUCUAUUUGGCUGGAUGAAGAAACAGCUUCACCUCUGGAACAAAUAUUCCUGUAAUUGUAAUGCUGAUUAAAUACAAAAACUGGGCUGAUUGUGACUUAACCAACAUUAUACAAUGAAACCAUUGUAACUCCACCGUUAAAGAAACAAGAAUUUCCAGUCCAAGCAACUGGAUAGUCAUUUUUACCCCUCUCUGCCUUCUCACAUUACUUGUUGAGACGGAUUUCAGAAUCAAGAAAGCAGCAUUAAUUCGAACUCAGAAGUAAGAAAGACAAAUGAAAUCCCAGCAGGUGGAAACCUGCGUUUGUUGAUGAACAUGUCUGCAAUCAAUUAAACCAGAAACACGAGCAGGCUAUUGCUUGUAUCAGUUCAUGGGACGCAAAGGACGGAUAGGAUUAGUGGUGAGCUUGGAGAAGUUAGCAAAGCCAACAACUACACCUCGCAGAACAGGAAAAGAUUUCCGUAAAUUUAAUGCUUUUCUAUUUGCUUAAUUCUCGUGACACCAUAUUAUUUGAUGCCUCAAAAGAACGAAAAUAUCAUCCGUGUGAUACAUCCAAAAUUCAAGCAAGCACACUGCCAAGAAAUUCAAUUCGGCGACGUUUCAAUCAAGCACGCUGCCAUAAAGUUUGAAGCCAUUGAAAAAACCUUUGGUUCUAUGGUCCAUUAAUUAUGUUCAGCUUAUUUACUCUUUCAUGUUCUCGCAGUUUCUUCUUUUUGCCACGUUCCAUGGCUUCCCACCACUGAAUCUCAUGUGCUUUAAAUUUGCCUUCGCCAUGACAGCCACAAAACCUUAUCGAUUGUUGCAGUCUGAAAACUGUUUGUUAUUGUGGUUACUGUUGUGGUUUUAAGAAAAUUAUUUUGUAAAAAUAUUUUUAGUUGAGGUUGGUUUAGAAAAAUAUAUAUUUGAUUAAAAAUAUGGUUAAAAUUGAGGUUGAACAAAAAGUAGUUUAAUGUGUUUGGUUAAAAAAAUGUUUUUCAAAUUGAGGUUAUAAAAUAAUUAAAAAAUAUUUUUAAUUUAAAUAUUGUAGAUUUAACUACUAUUACUACAUCAUGAAAUAAAUAAUAUUUAUAUCAAAUAUUUUUUAUUAUUCCAUUAAACUAUAUGCAAUGUCAUCACAUACAAAUCUAUCCAACAAUGACUAUAUUUUUCAUGGUUUCUUAAGCACGCAACAACAAAAAUUGGAUUUUUUGUAAUGUCAUCAAGCGAUAUCCUUCUAAUUUUUUCAAUAAAACACAAUUAAAAUAAAAAUAAAAACUGAAUUUUUUUAACUGGGUCAGACCCGGCAGGAACAUAAUUGGAAUUGCGAUUAAAUUUCACAAAUGUUAUGUCAUCAUGCGAUAUUCUUCUAAUUUAUAUAGUGUUAUUAAAUAAUAUUAAAUACUAGUUUUUCGAGUAAAACUAAAUUUUUUAAAAAAAAAAAUUACAAUUUCAUUACGUACAAAAUUCAUUCGACAAGAACUACAGUUUAAUGAUUUUGUGAGCGUGCAAUAAAAUUAGAUAAAAUAUUAUCGGGAAUAAAAUUAAGAUUACAGUAUGAGUAAAUUUAAUUCACCUUUAACUAUUUUUUUAACAAAAAAAAAUAUAUUGUUCAUCUGAAUAGUGCGAGUGAAAUUAAUUAAUUGCACUGGUUUUUCAGGGAAAAAAAAACCCAAACAUUGCAUGUGAACAGUGCAAGUGAAUUAAUUCACUCACACUGGUUUUUUGAAAUUAAAAAAAAAAUUGUUCAUUUUAGUGAACAGUGGAGCCAUGCUCCAUUGUUGAUGUUAAUUUUCAGACGAGCAGCAGCUUCUCAGAAACCUAUUCAGAUGAACAAUAUAUUUUAAAAAAAAUGGAGCAGGUGAAUUAUUUUAAUCUGCUUUUUAAUCUGCUACAGUGCAUGCAAAGCAGGUUUUCAUAGCUUUUCCUUUCCAGUGUUUUAAACGCAAAAAACACGUGGGUCCCAUGCACAGUAAAAUAAUUUUUGUUAUUACCAAACGGCUGCGGACUGCGUUUUAAAUAAAACGCAUCCGCAGCCUCUUAGACAAACACCCUUUAAGUGGGUCCUACAAAAAAAACUAUUUUUUCUUACCUUACCAAACAUUAAUAGUUGUGGUUGCGGGUGAACCUCACCCGUGGCCACAAUACCAAACAUCCACUUACUAUCUCUGGCCAUCUCGUGUAUGGACCCCUCUACGAUGAAGGAAGGGCACUGUUGGGCUCUUCCCUUACAACGGGGGAAGUCGGAAGGACACUGUUGGGCUAGUAUAAACCCUCCAGGUUUUGGCAUAGCUGCAGAAAAAAAUAAUUUAAAAAAAAUAAAAAAAAAAUAUAUUAUUUUAAUAUAUUUUAGUAUGAAAAGCAUUUUGAAAAAUAAUUGUAAUCAUAUUCCCAAACAAAUAUAAAAUUAAAGGAAAAACAAAUAUAAAACUAAAAGAAGAACUAAGUUAUAGUAAAUGGAAAUGAUGACAUGGAGGUAAAAUAUGGCUUCUUUUAAAUAAAGGGAGUGAGCUAUUGAUUUCUUAAAAAUAUAGGGACUACGUUAUAAUUUGAUCAAUUUGUUAUGAUGAAUUUAAAGUGUAACACGUGAUUUCUUUUUUUUUUUUUUUUUUUAUAACUCGAGAUGUCUGGGCUAGUUUAUGCGCAUCACGACUAAUCCCCGGACUCACCGAACAUCCUGCAAGCCCUGUAAGUAGGUAAGGUACCGCGGGGUGACAAGCGUGCACAAGCAAGACUUGAACCCUGGUAUAAAGGAAGAACACAAGGCCCUUCCACUGCUGGGCUACAAGCUCAAGCGUGUAACACAUGAUUUCUAAAUGGUGGUGUUGGUGUUGUGUUUGCCUAUUAAUGAUCAUGAUCAUGAUGUUUCAUGAUGUGACAAAUAUAUUAAAAAUAUGAUGAUUUUGUUUAUAGUUAAAGCCGUGAAAUAUUAUUUGUUUAAAAUUUAUUUUUUUUUAAUGUUUUUAAUUUUUAUUUAAUGUAUUGAUGUUAAAAAUAUUUUUUUAAAAAUUAAUAUAUAUAUAUAUAUAUUAAUAUAUUUUUAUAUAAAACAUAUUUUAAAACUUAACCUCUUUUAUAUUUUUAAACAUACCCUUAGUCAAUUGUCAUUUAGUAGUUGAAUCUUACCCUUAAUGUUUUCCAUGGAAUCUAUUAUUAUUGUCUUUGACAGCGUAUGUGCAAUGAUAAGGAAUAUCACGAUAGGUUGUCAAAAAAACUCUUACUAAUAUUAUGUUAUGUGUAAUUUUAUCUGAAAAUAAAAUAAAAAUUGAAUGAUGCCUAAUAAAAUAAUAUUAUAUAUAUAUAUAUAUAUUCUUAAUAAUUUAAUUAUCUACUAAAAUAACAUCCUUAUGUGUUUUUAAAUAAUUAAUUUUAAUGAAAUAAAAUUAAAACUUGAGGAUAAAAAUUCAAAAAAUAAAUAAAAUAAAAGCUAAACAUAAGCCAUGUUUGUGGGGUCAAGUGACUCAGCAUACUUAUCCAAAACAUGAAAGAGCCAUUUCAUUUUUUCUUUGAUGAAUGACACAUUGGACUUUUAUUAUUUUAUUUUUAAAAUAAAACAGAUUUGCUUACUCAAUUAUUUUUUGUUAUGGAGAAGUGGAAGAGUUAGGUUAGUGUUUUUUUUUUUUUAUCUAAAAUUCUAUUUUUUUAAUAUAUUUUUAUCUAAAAACACCUCAUAAAUACUUUUAAAUUAUCUCUAAACUAAUCCAUCAACUAAAAAGAAACUCUAAAAUAAUUUUAAAAUAUAAAGUUUAACUUAAAAGCAAUUCUCUCAACCUCUAUUUAUCUUUUUUUGGCAAUAUAAAGCUCAAAAACAUUAUGGUAACACUCUUUUUGUAAAGAAAAAUAUAUUGACACACAUAUGAGCUAUUUUCAUAAACAAAAACUUAUUAAUGUAUGUAUUUCUCUCUCCUUUACUAUUUUCAAUGAAUUUUUAUUAUUAUUUUAAAAAUUUCCAGAUUGAAAUGUUAUUAAAAUAGAGUUUUGGAUCAAAACAUAAAUAUUUUGAAAUAAAAUGGUGUGAAAUGAACAUUUCUCAAAUAAAAAAACUUUAAAUUCUUGCUAUAUGUCAAUUUUGACUCUCCAAGUCCUAAAUUUUUAUAUGCAAUAAAAUAGGAUUCUAUUUUGUAAAAUCAAACAUAAGUAUAAUGUAGAGACAUUUAAUUUUCCAAAAAAAAUAAAAAUAAGGAGCCUUAGCCUCGAAGUUCAUCGGACCUACGUCAUAAUGUCUUCGUCAUUACCCGACACCAGCCACGCCUUCAAGUCGUCGUUGACUGAUCAGAAUAAUAAUUUCCUAGGUCGGUCGUGCAGGUAAUUUAAAGGAGCCUUAGCCUGGAAGUUCCAUCACAUAGCAACUGGGAUUGGCAAUUGUUCUAGCCUUUUGAGUAGUUCAUCACAUAGCUAGCUAUGGCCACCGAAGACGUUUCUCUCGACCUUUCAACGCUUCUUUCUUCAGAAGAGAGGGACUUUCUCAUCCGCAACAAUGGUGAUCAGGUACUGCUUCUCUGAUCUUAUUCAAGUCUUCUUCUUGUCUUAUUAUAAGUUGAUGCCUUUUAAUUUUUAUAUGAACUUGUAGGUUUUUCUCGUAAUUAAGACGAAUAUCAUGUUUAAAUUAGACUGCAAGCCUUGCUGAAGAACAAAUUUAUGACCAAUUUCUGAAGCUUUUUAAUGAUUAAGAAAAAGCUCCUUUUUUUGUGUUGCUUUUCUCACUGGCAAGAGAAAGAAACCAUGAAUAAAAUUGUGAUUCGUUAAGGGCUGAUUUUUUUCUGAUAAUGUUCGACAUUAAUUUUUAGGUUAAGGUCACAAUUUGGUUGGGAAGAUUGUGGGUUCUACUUCUCUGGUUCGUGGGCGCCCAUGCCGUAAUUUCACUCCUUUGUUGGUAGAAGUCUAUGAACAGCUAUAUCCAAAGGGACUUUGAGGUCUUCAUUUCUUCUGACAGAGAUGAUGAAUCCUUCAACACAUAUUUCUCCGAAAUGCCUGGCUUGCUAUUCCCUUCUCUGAUACGGAGGCCCGCAAACGUCUUAAGGAAGUGUUCAAAGUAGAGGGAUCCCUAUCUUGUCAUUUUUGAUUGCGAAUGGCAAGGUUCCUGCGAUGAUGGAUCAGCACUGUCAAGGAACAUGGCGUGGAUGGGUAUCCGUUCAACCUUGAUAGACUGAAUUUCCUGAAAGAGCAAGAAGAGAACGCUAAGAAGAAUCAAACAUAAGCUCUAUCUUGGUUUCAAGCUCACGUGAUUAUGUGAUUUCAAAUGAUGGAAAAAAGGUUAGAUGGUUCAUUCAAUUAGCUAGUUUUGAAAUUGAAUUGAUGAUGCCAUCAUUCACUUUUUGCCUUUUUGGCUAUCUGUAAUGGCAGAUCCCUGUGUUGGACCUUGAAGGAAAAUUGGUUGGCUUGUAUUUCUCAAUCCAUGCUCAUAGGAUGUGCCGUGAAUUCACUCCUAAACUAGUGAAUUACAAGCGCUCAAGGAAAAAGAGAGAACUUUGAAGUAGUCCUAAUAUCUCUAGACGAGGAAAAACACUUCAAAGAGAGUUUUGAGACAAUGCCUUGGUUGGCAUUGCCGUUUAAGGACAAGAGCUGCGAGAAGCUAGCGCGGUAUUUUGAACUUAGAACCAUUCCUAAUCUUGUCAUAAUUGGCCAAGAUGGGAAGACUUUGAACCCAAAUGUAGUUGAACUCAUCGAAGACCAUGGAAUUGAAGCCUACCCAUUUACACCGGAAAAGCUUGAGAGCUAGCUGCAAUUGAAAAGGCAAAACUGGAAUCGCAGACGCUUGAGUCAGUUUUGGUUAAUGGGGAAAAUGAUUUUGUGAUU
rnacentral:lncRNA from 1 species